rnacentral:tRNA from 1 species
UCCCCUGUAGCUCAAUUGGCAGAGCAGCCGGCUGUUAACCGGCAGCCGGCUGUUAACCGGCAGGUUACUGGUUCGAGUCCAGUCGGGAGAG